GGGUUGUGAGGUUAAGCGACUAAGCGUACACGGUGGAUGCCCUGGCAGUCAGAGGCGAUGAAGGACGUGCUAAUCUGCGAUAAGCGUCGGUAAGGUGAUAUGAACCGUUAUAACCGGCGAUUUCCGAAUGGGGAAACCCAGUGUGAUUCGUCACACUAUCAUUAACUGAAUCCAUAGGUUAAUGAGGCGAACCGGGGGAACUGAAACAUCUAAGUACCCCGAGGAAAAGAAAUCAACCGAGAUUCCCCCAGUAGCGGCGAGCGAACGGGGAGCAGCCCAGAGCCUGAAUCAGUGUGUGUGUUAGUGGAAGCGUCUGGAAAGGCGCGCGAUACAGGGUGACAGCCCCGUACACAAAAAUGCACAUGCUGUGAGCUCGAUGAGUAGGGCGGGACACGUGGUAUCCUGUCUGAAUAUGGGGGGACCAUCCUCCAAGGCUAAAUACUCCUGACUGACCGAUAGUGAACCAGUACCGUGAGGGAAAGGCGAAAAGAACCCCGGCGAGGGGAGUGAAAAAGAACCUGAAACCGUGUACGUACAAGCAGUGGGAGCACGCUUAGGCGUGUGACUGCGUACCUUUUGUAUAAUGGGUCAGCGACUUAUAUUCUGUAGCAAGGUUAACCGAAUAGGGGAGCCGAAGGGAAACCGAGUCUUAACUGGGCGUUAAGUUGCAGGGUAUAGACCCGAAACCCGGUGAUCUAGCCAUGGGCAGGUUGAAGGUUGGGUAACACUAACUGGAGGACCGAACCGACUAAUGUUGAAAAAUUAGCGGAUGACUUGUGGCUGGGGGUGAAAGGCCAAUCAAACCGGGAGAUAGCUGGUUCUCCCCGAAAGCUAUUUAGGUAGCGCCUCGUGAAUUCAUCUCCGGGGGUAGAGCACUGUUUCGGCAAGGGGGUCAUCCCGACUUACCAACCCGAUGCAAACUGCGAAUACCGGAGAAUGUUAUCACGGGAGACACACGGCGGGUGCUAACGUCCGUCGUGAAGAGGGAAACAACCCAGACCGCCAGCUAAGGUCCCAAAGUCAUGGUUAAGUGGGAAACGAUGUGGGAAGGCCCAGACAGCCAGGAUGUUGGCUUAGAAGCAGCCAUCAUUUAAAGAAAGCGUAAUAGCUCACUGGUCGAGUCGGCCUGCGCGGAAGAUGUAACGGGGCUAAACCAUGCACCGAAGCUGCGGCAGCGACGCUUAUGCGUUGUUGGGUAGGGGAGCGUUCUGUAAGCCUGUGAAGGUGUACUGUGAGGUAUGCUGGAGGUAUCAGAAGUGCGAAUGCUGACAUAAGUAACGAUAAAGCGGGUGAAAAGCCCGCUCGCCGGAAGACCAAGGGUUCCUGUCCAACGUUAAUCGGGGCAGGGUGAGUCGACCCCUAAGGCGAGGCCGAAAGGCGUAGUCGAUGGGAAACAGGUUAAUAUUCCUGUACUUGGUGUUACUGCGAAGGGGGGACGGAGAAGGCUAUGUUGGCCGGGCGACGGUUGUCCCGGUUUAAGCGUGUAGGCUGGUUUUCCAGGCAAAUCCGGAAAAUCAAGGCUGAGGCGUGAUGACGAGGCACUACGGUGCUGAAGCAACAAAUGCCCUGCUUCCAGGAAAAGCCUCUAAGCAUCAGGUAACAUCAAAUCGUACCCCAAACCGACACAGGUGGUCAGGUAGAGAAUACCAAGGCGCUUGAGAGAACUCGGGUGAAGGAACUAGGCAAAAUGGUGCCGUAACUUCGGGAGAAGGCACGCUGAUAUGUAGGUGAAGCGACUUGCUCGUGGAGCUGAAAUCAGUCGAAGAUACCAGCUGGCUGCAACUGUUUAUUAAAAACACAGCACUGUGCAAACACGAAAGUGGACGUAUACGGUGUGACGCCUGCCCGGUGCCGGAAGGUUAAUUGAUGGGGUCAGCGCAAGCGAAGCUCUUGAUCGAAGCCCCGGUAAACGGCGGCCGUAACUAUAACGGUCCUAAGGUAGCGAAAUUCCUUGUCGGGUAAGUUCCGACCUGCACGAAUGGCGUAAUGAUGGCCAGGCUGUCUCCACCCGAGACUCAGUGAAAUUGAACUCGCUGUGAAGAUGCAGUGUACCCGCGGCAAGACGGAAAGACCCCGUGAACCUUUACUAUAGCUUGACACUGAACAUUGAGCCUUGAUGUGUAGGAUAGGUGGGAGGCUUUGAAGUGUGGACGCCAGUCUGCAUGGAGCCGACCUUGAAAUACCACCCUUUAAUGUUUGAUGUUCUAACGUUGACCCGUAAUCCGGGUUGCGGACAGUGUCUGGUGGGUAGUUUGACUGGGGCGGUCUCCUCCUAAAGAGUAACGGAGGAGCACGAAGGUUGGCUAAUCCUGGUCGGACAUCAGGAGGUUAGUGCAAUGGCAUAAGCCAGCUUGACUGCGAGCGUGACGGCGCGAGCAGGUGCGAAAGCAGGUCAUAGUGAUCCGGUGGUUCUGAAUGGAAGGGCCAUCGCUCAACGGAUAAAAGGUACUCCGGGGAUAACAGGCUGAUACCGCCCAAGAGUUCAUAUCGACGGCGGUGUUUGGCACCUCGAUGUCGGCUCAUCACAUCCUGGGGCUGAAGUAGGUCCCAAGGGUAUGGCUGUUCGCCAUUUAAAGUGGUACGCGAGCUGGGUUUAGAACGUCGUGAGACAGUUCGGUCCCUAUCUGCCGUGGGCGCUGGAGAAUUGAGGGGGGCUGCUCCUAGUACGAGAGGACCGGAGUGGACGCAUCACUGGUGUUCGGGUUGUCAUGCCAAUGGCACUGCCCGGUAGCUAAAUGCGGAAGAGAUAAGUGCUGAAAGCAUCUAAGCACGAAACUUGCCCCGAGAUGAGUUCUCCCUGACUCCUUGAGAGUCCUGAAGGAACGUUGAAGACGACGACGUUGAUAGGCCGGGUGUGUAAGCGCAGCGAUGCGUUGAGCUAACCGGUACUAAUGAACCGUGAGGCUUAACCUUACAACGCCGAAG
rnacentral:rRNA from 1 species